AUGUUUAACACCAACCAUGUUUUACCCAUGCUACCACCGGCGACCACGCACCCACGUUUUACCCACAAAUGCCACCAUGUCUUUCCUUCUUUCCCAUGGCAUGGUUCCAUUUUCCAAAACCGCCCCACGUUGUUUGCGCCGGACAUGGAACAAACAGAGAGACCGAAGAGAAGCGCGGCGGCCAUGCCUACUGUGGUUGGAUCUAGACGAGGGGGUUGCCACCAGCCCCGUUCAUUGCGCCGGCCAUAGAAGAGAGACAGAGAUCGAAGGGAAGCACGACGGCGAUGCGGUUCAUUGCGAUGGACACCGAGGCCCGGGCGUCGCGGGUGCGGCGACCUGGCUGCGGCCGCUGUCGCCGACCCACUCCACGCGCGGCCUGCCCUUCCUCGAGGCUCACCGCGUACCGCCACCCAACUCUUUCACCCCUUCAAUGUCGCCUCCCUUCACACCGAUGCUGGGGAUGCGCUGCACUGGCAGCUCCCCUCCAUCCUUGCCUCUACUAAUCCAUCUAAUGUCGCCUCUCUGCAUCCUGUAGAGGGGUCGAACUAGACACCACAGACACGACGGCCUAGACACCAUGCCACACACAAUUGACGAGUUCUUUUGUACUGCUCUCUGAUUGUCGCUUGUCCAUGUUACCAGACGAGCAGAGGCGUGGUAGCGGCCAAGACGAGAACUAUGGGAAGCUGAAGUCGCCUGCGUGUUUGUGUUCAUCACAGGUGCUGUCUCUUUUCCAUCUUUUUUUUUUGUACUUCAUCCGAUGAUCAGUGACUACUAAUUCCCAUGUCAACAUAAGGAAGAAGCAUGGUGUCCGCCGCCGGCGACAUGGACGCAUGCGGGGGAAUAGCCGCAGAUUCAGGUCCUUCUAUCGGUCUGUUGUGCCUUGAAGUUUGCGUUCAUCUUUGAGAAAUUCCGCCGCAUCCUCAGUCAUAUGUAUGUUUUGAUCUAUUUUUCAUGUUGUUUUCUUGGGUCUUUGUUCUUGGUUAUUGGGCGUGGAGUGCUCUCUACAGCCCUUCACAACUCCCGAACCCACAUGUAUUUGAUGUAAGAUGCUUUAACCUAUUCUCUAAUGUACAUGCAGUCUGAAAUCCAUUACCAAUUUGGCUUUAGGGAAAUUCAUUCGCACAAGAAGCAAGGCUAAGUUGUACUCCUAAUUGGUAUUGUUCUUAAGCACACCCCAAAAUGAUGUGUAUCAAUUGCAUAUUUUUCUGAAGCUACUAAACCAUUACUGGAUUUUUGUAGUUUUUUUUUCAAAAUACGUCUCUCCUUCGAAGUCAUUUUUUCCUUCUACUCAAUGUUCCGCUGAAAGAGAAUCUCAACAGAGCAAUUGGAAGGAGAAAGCAGCCAGAGAGGAGAAUCUUAGAACAAGAUACAUGCAUCAGUUUAACUCCUAUUCCUGAACCAAUAUACUUUUAUGAUUGAAUUAAAUAAAACAAGUAUUUUUAUAUUUCUAAAAAUCAACGGAUUCUAAUAAUAUUCCGGCAUGCAAAUAAUUUUUCCAUAUGUUUGAGUACAUUGUGUUGCUGUGCAAAUAUGCAGAGAAGGAUCUCAUUUGUGGGGGCAUGGUUAUGUGAAUCGACGUGUUAUCUUGACUAAAUAUCUUCUUACUAUUUGUACAGUGCUGCAAUAUGUAUAGGCUGGUCACCACUUUUACUUAGUUUCAUUAUAUAUAUACUUGCAGCAACCAGCAACUACUAAUUGAAAUUUCUGCUUCACCUGCAAAAAAAAAAAGAAUCUUCCUACAAGAUACAUGUCCAUACUGCUGCGAUGUUUGAUCUAACACUGCAACACGGAUUUAGUGGCGAAGUGGUGCUUGGUCAAGAUCCACUUGUCCCUGUCCUCGCCUACGUCGCAUCACAGCAGCAGCCGCUGACCAUCCCUGAGGAAACCACCGCGUCGCUCCCUACCGAAUCGUGAUCAUCCUGGGUAUCCUGUUUGCUACCAUGGGCGCUCUGAUAGAGCUCAUGGUACUCUCUUGAUGCACAUAAAACGAUCUUAUCAAUUUGUGUUUUGAGGAAUCAAGGGCCUGAAUAAUCGUAGUGCAGAUGCCAAUAACUUGCAGAUACACCAAGGUUUAUGCAAUUGUCCAGACAUUGGUUUAUUGUGAUGUAUUGUAUACUAUGGUUCCAGCAUAUGACCAAAUGAGAGGGAUUGACAAUACAUUAUAUUUUCAUGCAAUCGCUACAAGAACAUUAUAUCGGAUCAUCUCAAUCACGUACAGUCCUACCCAACAUUUUAUGUUGCUGCAUGUUGACUACACCAGUCCGAGCCAAGCUGCAGGAGUUGUAUGGUACCUUUCUCUUCCAACGUCGCCAGACAAGUGACGUAGGAGGUCGUCAUUCCCCAUUAAGCAGCUACAGUUCUUCGCCGAUGAGGUACUGGACGGCAAUUCUCCUGUUUGGGCCACCAGGGAUGGGUGUGCUACUUGGUGAAAAUCAUCACGGCAGAGGCUGAUUUAUCUUCCGAAUGUGAGUGUUGCUUAAAUUUGAGCCGCACAAUUCACUCUCCUGCAAUUUAAGCCUUGUGAUUGUACCAACAGAAAAAGAGCACAUGGAUAAUUUCCUCAAGAAAAUGUUCAAUUGUGAUCCUAAAUCGAUUCUUUGUUUACGAUUAA